AAAUUGAAGAGUUUGAUCAUGGCUCAGAUUGAACGCUGGCGGCAGGCCUAACACAUGCAAGUCGAACGGUAACAGGAAGAAGCUUGCUUCUUUGCUGACGAGUGGCGGACGGGUGAGUAAUGUCUGGGAAACUGCCUGAUGGAGGGGGAUAACUACUGGAAACGGUAGCUAAUACCGCAUAACGUCGCAAGACCAAAGAGGGGGACCUUCGGGCCUCUUGCCAUCAGAUGUGCCCAGAUGGGAUUAGCUAGUAGGUGGGGUAACGGCUCACCUAGGCGACGAUCCCUAGCUGGUCUGAGAGGAUGACCAGCCACACUGGAACUGAGACACGGUCCAGACUCCUACGGGAGGCAGCAGUGGGGAAUAUUGCACAAUGGGCGCAAGCCUGAUGCAGCCAUGCCGCGUGUAUGAAGAAGGCCUUCGGGUUGUAAAGUACUUUCAGCGGGGAGGAAGGGAGUAAAGUUAAUACCUUUGCUCAUUGACGUUACCCGCAGAAGAAGCACCGGCUAACUCCGUGCCAGCAGCCGCGGUAAUACGGAGGGUGCAAGCGUUAAUCGGAAUUACUGGGCGUAAAGCGCACGCAGGCGGUUUGUUAAGUCAGAUGUGAAAUCCCCGGGCUCAACCUGGGAACUGCAUCUGAUACUGGCAAGCUUGAGUCUCGUAGAGGGGGGGUAGAAUUCCAGGUGUAGCGGUGAAAUGCGUAGAGAUCUGGAGGAAUACCGGUGGCGAAGGCGGCCCCCUGGACGAAGACUGACGCUCAGGUGCGAAAGCGUGGGGAGCAAACAGGAUUAGAUACCCUGGUAGUCCACGCCGUAAACGAUGUCGACUUGGAGGUUGUGCCCUUGAGGCGUGGCUUCCGGAGCUAACGCGUUAAGUCGACCGCCUGGGGAGUACGGCCGCAAGGUUAAAACUCAAAUGAAUUGACGGGGGCCCGCACAAGCGGUGGAGCAUGUGGUUUAAUUCGAUGCAACGCGAAGAACCUUACCUGGUCUUGACAUCCACGGAAGUUUUCAGAGAUGAGAAUAUGCCUUCGGGAACCGUGAGACAGGUGCUGCAUGGCUGUCGUCAGCUCGUGUUGUGAAAUGUUGGGUUAAGUCCCGCAACGAGCGCAACCCUUAUCCUUUGUUGCCAGCGGUCCGGCCGGGAACUCAAAGGAGACUGCCAGUGAUAAACUGGAGGAAGGUGGGGAUGACGUCAAGUCAUCAUGGCCCUUACGACCAGGGCUACACACGUGCUACAAUGGCGCAUACAAAGAGAAGCGACCUCGCGAGAGCAAGCGGACCUCAUAAAGUGCGUCGUAGUCCGGAUUGGAGUCUGCAACUCGACUCCAUGAAGUCGGAAUCGCUAGUAAUCGUGGAUCAGAAUGCCACGGUGAAUACGUUCCCGGGCCUUGUACACACCGCCCGUCACACCAUGGGAGUGGGUUGCAAAAGAAGUAGGUAGCUUAACCUUCGGGAGGGCGCUUACCACUUUGUGAUUCAUGACUGGGGUGAAGUCGUAACAAGGUAACCGUAGGGGAACCUGCGGUUGGAUCACCUCCUUA
rnacentral:rRNA from 1 species